AUGGAAGAAGUCUUCUAUUUUCUUGCUGGUUAUCGGGAUCUUUAUCUGUAUCAGUUCAGCCUCAGACUUUCAUAUGGAGCUACGAGCUUUGUUUUAAGAAGGCGUGCAUUUGCAAGCUUUGCAGAAAUCUUUGAGAGAAGCUCAACUGUAUCCAUCAUUCAACCCUUAUCUAUGAUUCUUCUCCUUUCUGCUUUCUUACAUUUUGAAGGAGAACACAGGUUUUGUCCUACUUUCUGGAGGCAUGUCUUGGAUUCUUCUGCUGGAUUCCUAUGUCAUUAUUCUUGGCUUAAUUUGCCGAAAAGAAAACAUUGA